AGAGAUCUGGAGGAAUACCGGUGGCGAAGGCGGCCCCCUGGACGAAGACUGACGCUCAGGUGCGAAAGCGUGGGGAGCAAACAGGAUUAGAUACCCUGGUAGUCCACGCCGUAAACGAUGUCGACUUGGAGGUUGUGCCCUUGAGGCGUGGCUUCCGGAGCUAACGCGUUAAGUCGACCGCCUGGGGAGUACGGCCGCAAGGUUAAAACUCAAAUGAAUUGACGGGGGCCCGCACAAGCGGUGGAGCAUGUGGUUUAAUUCGAUGCAACGCGAAGAACCUUACCUGGUCUUGACAUCCACAGAACUUUCCAGAGAUGGAUUGGUGCCUUCGGGAACUGUGAGACAGGUGCUGCAUGGC
rnacentral:rRNA from 1 species